rnacentral:rRNA from 1 species
UACGUAGGGUGCAAGCGUUGUCCGGAAUUAUUGGGCGUAAAGAGCUCGUAGGCGGUUUGUCGCGUCUGCUGUGAAAACUGGAGGCUCAACCUCCAGCCUGCAGUGGGUACGGGCAGACUAGAGUGCGGUAGGGGAGAUUGGAAUUCCUGGUGUAGCGGUGGAAUGCGCAGACAUCAGGAGGAACACCAGAGGCGAAGGCGGUUACCUGGACAAUUACUGACGCUCAGGCACGAAGGCGUGGGGAGCAAAAGGG